CCCUGAGGUCACACAGCCGGGAGUGCAGUCAGGCCUUGAACCCCGAUCUGUGGUUCAGCCGUCUGCAGAAAACCCACGCAGCCUGGAAGCUCAGAAGAUACUGGCAACAAGCCUUUAACCAGAGAAGACAGCGGGAUGGGCCCAGAGCUUAGGGAAGAGGAAAGGCCUGACCAGCUGGGAGCUCCGUGGGAACGUCUCUUGCCCCCCAACCCCACCCCACCCCAGAAGGUGUCCUCAAGUCUCAGGAAGGAAAAACAGUCAAGCUGAACCCACCAAGACCGUCUCCAAGGGGCCGGGGCUGGCGCCUGGCCAGGACUGACAUCACCUGGGAACUGCCGAGGCCCGCAGCUGCAACACGCCUCCUGGGGGGACGUGCUUUGGCUAUUUUAAAAAAAUAAUAAUAAUAAAAAAACGUUUCCAGUC